AACGCACAUUGCGCCCCUUGGUAUUCCGAGGGGCAUGCCUGUUCGAGCGUCAUUUCAAACCUCAAGCUCACGCUUGGUGUUGGGCGUCGUCCGCAAGGACGUGCCUGAAACCCGUAGGCAGUGGUGCCCGUCUCCCAGCGUAGUCAAGUUACCCGCUUCGGAGCGCGCGGUGCCGCCCGCCGGACGAACAACCCACUAUUUUCUAUGGUUUGACCUCGGAUCAGGUAGGGAUACCCGCUGAACUUAA
rnacentral:misc_RNA from 1 species